rnacentral:rRNA from 1 species
GACGAACGCUGGCGGCGUGCCUAACACAUGCAAGUCGAGCGAGGGAAACUCUUCGGAGUGGAACUAGCGGCGGACGGGUGAGUAACACGUGGGCAACCUGCCUCGUAGAGGGGAAUAGCCUUUCGAAAGGAAGAUUAAUACCCCAUAAGAUUGUAGUUCCGCAUGGAAUAGCAAUUAAAGGAGUAAUCCGCUACGAGAUGGGCCCGCGUCGCAUUAGCUAGUUGGUAAGGUAAUGGCUUACCAAGGCGACGAUGCGUAGCCGACCUGAGAGGGUGAUCGGCCACAUUGGGACUGAGACACGGCCCAGACUCCUACGGGAGGCAGCAGUGGGGAAUAUUGCACAAUGGGGGAAACCCUGAUGCAGCAACGCCGCGUGAGUGAUGACGGUCUUCGGAUUGUAAAGCUCUGUCUUCAGGGACGAUAAUGACGGUACCUGAGGAGGAAGCCACGGCUAACUACGUGCCAGCAGCCGCGGUAAUACGUAGGUGGCGAGCGUUGUCCGGAUUUACUGGGCGUAAAGGGAGCGUAGGCGGAUUUUUAAGUGGGAUGUGAAAUACUCGGGCUCAACCUGAGUGCUGCAUUCCAAACUGGAAAUCUAGAGUGCUGGAGAGGAAAGUGGAAUUCCUAGUGUAGCGAUGAGAUGCGUAGAGAUUAGGAAGAACACCAGUGGCGAAGGCGACUUUCUGGACUGUAACUGACGCUGAGGCUCGAAAGCGUGGGGAGCGAACAGGAUUAGAUACCCUGGUAGUCCACGCCGUAAACGAUGAAAUACUAGGUGUAGGGGUUGUCAUGACCUCUGUGCCGCCGCUAACGCAUUAAGUAUUCCGUCUGGGGAGUACGGUCGC